rnacentral:tRNA from 1 species
UCCUUCAUAGCUCAGUCGGUAAAGAAUCUGCCUGCCAUGCAGGAGACCCAGAUUCGAUUCCUGGGUUGGAA